AUACGUAGGGGGCUAGCGUUAUCCGGAUUUACUGGGCGUAAAGGGUGCGUAGGUGGUUUCUUAAGUCAGAGGUGAAAGGCUACGGCUCAACCGUAGUAAGCCUUUGAAACUGGGAAACUUGAGUGCAGGAGAGGAGAGUGGAAUUCCUAGUGUAGCGGUGAAAUGCGUAGAUAUUAGGAGGAACACCAGUGGCGAAGGCGGCUUACUGGGCACUAACUGACGCUGAGGCACGAAAGCAUGGGGAGC
rnacentral:rRNA from 1 species